AGACGCUGCACUGAGAACUGGACCAAAGCUGGGCUCAAAACUGUGUUGAACUAUCGGUAACAAGAUGUUGUCUACAAAGGGGGAGCAGAGAACAUUCAGCAAUGGGCGUCUGAGAGACCAGUGGGAGAAGAGAGCCCAGAGCAUCGCCGACGACAACAAAAAAGAGGAACAAUGGAAGCAGAAAAGUUCCACCAAUCUGCUACUCUCAAAAUGGAACUAUCACUGGCUGGUUGCUAAUGGAGACAAGAUGAAAGAUGGCAUGAGUGAGUUUAAGAGGGUCACAAGUGGUGCAGCUGAAGCAGAAAAAAACAAGCCCAGAAUUCGAUUCAAAGUUGUCCCUCCUCCUCCCAAACCCAAAGCCGAGCCUCCUCCUCCACCACCUCCUCCGAGAAGGUCAACAUCACCCAGACUUCGAAGGCAAAAGCGCAAAGUAGAGGUUGAUGCAUUUCGAAUUUGCUGGAAGGACUCCUGGAUGAGCUUGAAGCCACCAAAGUAUCUUUUUCUGAAAGCCCAAGAGUUGCAAACCAGAAUUCUAGGGUUCACAACCAUAGAGCUAACUAAGAACAGCAAGUACAAAGCAAAGGGAAGCGGACUGAAGGGUGAAUGGAUGUUUCCUGCUCAUAAGUGGAAUCAAUCCUGGAAACAGGUGAAGAGUCCAGGCCAGGUGGAGCUUUCUGAGGCAAAACAGUUUCACUGGGAUAUUCUAUUUCAAAGAGAGAACGUUUGUAAGGUUGCGAUAGAAACAUAUUCUCUUCCUGUUUGGGCUGGUACCUGGAAGAUCAUGAACUUUCCCUUCAGGCAGGAGAAAAAGGACUGGGAUCAUAUCUGGACUGACUACCAACAAAACCUAACCAACAACUUUGAUCAAAUACAACAGCUAGAGGAGGAGGAUGAACCCUUUGACUGGGAGGAUUCAUGGAAAAUGUCUGGAGCAGAUUUUGAAACAAACGACUUCACAGAUGAUGAGACGCUAAGUGAGAGUUCCUUCAGUGCGGACGCUGAAGUUAUGAUGACUAUAACUGAUGUGUGCGUACCAGGAUGGAGCAAAUCCUGGCUACUGUCAGCAGCUCCUCCAGAGGAAGGUGAAGAACGGCAGAAAAGCUGGAGCACUUGCUGGGGAUAUAAGCAGCAGCUCAGGUGGUGCAAAGCUUCUGUAAACUCCAAUCAUCAACACAGUGCCAUGCUGGAGAGAAAACGCAAAGCUACAAACUUCCUCUUCACAUCAGAGUUGGACGAGGAGAUGACAGACACCACUGAGUGGAUGGAGGCCUGGAAGGCUCCAAGAGGAUGGUUUAAGGUAGAGGAGGAGGAAACAGAGGAGGAGGGGGAAGCAGAGGAAAUAUAUGUCAAAGGGGAGGAGGAUGAUGAAGGAGUGAAUAAUGAGGACAGAGAUAUGGAUGAGGAAGAGGAGGAUGGAAAUCUGGAUGGUGUGGAGGAGGAUGAAGGAGUUGAAGAGGAGGAAGCUUUCAAUAAAAAUAAUGUGGACAAAAAACUAGAAAAGGAGAGAAAAAUAGAAAUAGUUAUAGAAAAGAAAGAAAAAGCCCUUAACAAGAAGGCUGAAGAUGAUGAGGAAGAAGAUGAAGGAGUGGAUGAAAAUGAGGAGGAGGAGGAAGAAGAGUAUGAAGAUACUGACAACAAGAAGGAGGGCAAGGAAGAAGACAAUGAAGAGGAACAGGAUGAAGAUGGUGGAAGGGAGGAUGGAAACAAAAAAGGCAAUCAAAAAGAUGACAAUGAAACAGAUAACGAUGAGGAGGAGAAAGAAGAGGAGGAGGUGGAGGAAGGGGAUGAAAAAACUAAGGUAGAGAAGCAGGAAAAAGACACAAAUGAAAAUGAUGAGGGUGAAGUAGAAGAGGAAGAGCAGGACAGUGAAUUGAAUGAAGAUGAAAGGGAUGACAAAGUGGAAAAGCUGAAUGAGGAAGGCACAGACGAAGAAGAGGAAGUGAAUGCAGAAAUAAAGGAAGAAGAGGAGGAGGAAGACAUAGAAGAUGAGGAAGAGGAGAACAAGAAUGGCAUAAAUGAGGAGAAAGGAAACCAUGAUGGUGGCAGGGAUGAAGAUGCAGAGGUAGAUGAGGAAGAGGAGGAAGAUGAAGAUUAUAAUAACAAUGAUGAUGAAACAAAUGUAUGUGAAAAAGAAAAAUACAAAGAGAUGGACAAGAAAGAUAAAGGUGGAGAAGAAGAAGAAGAAGAGGAGGAAGAAGAAGAAUCAAAAGAAGGAAAAGAAGAAGAAGCAAAAGAAAAAGAAGAAGAAGAAGAAGAAGAAGAAGAAGAAGAAGCAAAAGAAGAUGAAGAAGAAGCAAAAGAAGAAGAAGAAAAGGGAGAGGGUGGUGGGGAUGAAAAAAAUGAAACAGAAAGAAAUAAGAGUAGUAGGGUUAAUGUAGAUAAGGAGGAAGAUGAAAAAGAUGAAGAUGAUGACAAAGCUGAUGAAGAUGAAGAAGAGGAUGAUGUGCAAAAGAAUGAAGGCAAUAAUGUAGAUAGCGAGGAUGAAGAAGAAGAGAAGGAAGAAGAGGAUGAAGCAGACAACGACCAGGAGAGUGAUGAGGAUGGUAAAGACAGAGAGGAGAAUGAAAAUGUUGACGAGGAGGAAGGUGGUGUAAUAUUUGAGAAAGAUGAAGAAGAAAUUAAAGAGAAUGACAAAAAAGCUGACCAUCACAAGGAUGAGGAAGAGGAGGAGGAGGAUGAAGAGAAGGAGGCUGGUGAGAAAGAAAAUGAAGCAGAGGUUAUAGUAGAGAAAAACACAGAAGAAGAAAAGAAGGUGAAGAAGUCACAGAAAAGAAUGAAACAUAAGCCCGAUGUCCCGCUCCAUCUGCAGUUCCACAAACUGAACGCCUGCUUUCCCUCCUGGAAGCAGUCAUGGAUGGUGGCAGUAGCUCACAGAGGAGGUUGUGAUGCUGAGGAUGAGGCUUACGAAGAGGGUGAGGAAUCGGAAUUGAGAGCUUGGAAGGACUCAUGGAGGAUUUGUCGCUAUAGAAAGCCAGAUGAUGAUGACGUGGUGUGUUUCUCUAUGGAGCACCGGAGUCAGCGGUAUAUGGGACUGACGCAUGAAGAAGACAGCAUGCCAAACAGUGAGUGGACUCUGAGCUGGAAAAUGAACAAAGAAAAAGAUGAAGAUGCUGAAGAUGAAGAAGAAGAAGAAGAUGAAGAAGAAGAAGAAGAAGAAGAAGAAAGUUAAAAUUUUCUGAGAGGGGAAAUUAGAAGUGCUGGGUAUUAUUUAUACCUGAUAUGAACUAAAUGUGUCAAAAGCUGGGAUUGUCAUGUCUUAUUUCAGAUGCUGACCAGAGAUACUUUUAAUCCAAACUUCUGUUCUGCAUGUUUACGUUUAGGCUAGGCUACUGGAAAACUGCAAAAAGAUAUUUAUUUCAACUGUUGAUGCCAUCAACAACCUCACAUGCCCAGAAGGAAGUAACUAAUACAGUUGGCAACAUGUCUGUGUUUACUUUAGGUCAGAUUUGAAAACUACUGAUGAGUCGUGAUUUUUUUUUUCUUUCUUUACGCUUCUUAUAUAGUUUGGUGCUGUUUUGUGAUCCUUCUUGCUUGAGUGAAUGUCAACAAUGAAAAGUACAAAGUUAGCAUGACAAUUAACGGUAGCUAUGCAAGCUAGCCAACUCUCAGUCGGUAAAAACAAUAGCAUUUACAUAAGCCCGGAAAUCCACAGUUCAUUAUCAGUGGCUUUCAGCAAGAGUUCUCCAGGUUUUCUUAAGGUCUUUGAGAGUUUUUCUUUUCAGUCAUUUUCAGUCCAUUCCUUUUCCUUCCCAUUUUCAGAGAAAUUAUUUUUUGUUGUGUAUUUGUUAAGCAUGAGCCACUUAACACUGGCCACCUAACUCAAUGGAUAAAAGAGUGUAACCUAUGCAUAACAACUGAGCAAAGAACCAGUUUUAAAGCAUUAUUUUACAAAGUUUUUUUUGUUACAAAGACACAUAAUUUAAUAAAACUCAUGAAACAGUAUUUCUGCACAAAACAAACAAUUAUUAAUGGAAAACAUGGCUUAUAUUGACAUGGUGUGCAGAGUGUCCUUAACAACUUUGAGGAAACUGAUCAAAUGGAGGACAAAGAAGGUGCAGAAAAUGAAAACAAUAUGUAACAGUAUCUUUAUCCAGUGUCCUGCAUCUGGCAUUUGAUUCAUCUCCUGUUUCCCAAAGUCCCAUCAGAAGUGGUCUCAGUGGAAAGGUGGCUGUCAAGAAGCCAUUCAUACAGAGGGGAGACAGGGAGAGAGGCUGAGAAGUGCCAAAUUACACAAGUACUGGACUAAAAAUGCAGUGGUUGAAACAAAGAUAAAGUGGUUGACAGCUUAAGAAGAAUGUAGGAAAGGAGCCAAAUGCCAGUUGGCCUCUUUACACUCAGCAUUCGAUGCUAAACUAAUUUGAUAAGUACACUCAGGGAGGAUAUCCUCCAGAAAGGCCAGCAUAAAUUUCACAAUUUAACUUUUAAAAAAGUUAUCCAGAUCAAAAGCAUAAAAUGUUAUGGGUUCUUCACUUGCUGAUGCUCCAGAGCAUCAUUUGAUUAAACUUUAUAAAAUCUUCAUCUUUGACACUAGAAAUUUGAUAUUAAAAAUGAUAACAUACAAGGAAGUGUCCUGCUAUAAGAUUACAUAUUAUUAUUUUCACGUUUACAGUUAUAGCUGCUUUUUCAUCCUGUGUUACUAAAUUUCUGCUAACUGCCUUCUACUGCUAGACUGUUUGUGUCAUUAGACACCAAAGCUCUGAGGGUGUUGUGAAGAUGUACAAUUUACCCCACAUCAAAACAUAAAAAUCAAUAGCCAAGCAGUGAGCAGCUAAUGGCUGUAAUUGGUUAACACAAUGUACUGACGGGGUAAAAUAUGAAGCACUUUAAGAGAGGUGACUGAGGUUUGUCUGAUUUUUAAAGUAAGAAAAUGUCAUAUUGGUGUUGUGUAGAUGGAAGAGGCUGUGCAGAGAUCAGUCUUAAACAUUUAUAUGGUGAUGUGCGUCUUUACUGCACUCUUUUAUGAUACAGUGAAGAUCAAACUGCAACUUUUAUUAAAGUUAUAAACUGUGAAUUUUACAGAAAAAAACUGCGUGUUUGUUUUCGCACAACUUAUUCACACUUAAUAGCACUACAUAAGCACAUUUUCAGUAUUUUAGUUUCUUCCUGAGAGUGAGCGGUCAAGACUGAUGUCAGUCUGCUUCAUGUGUGCAGAUCAAAAUCUCUGUCUUUAGAAAUUGAAAUAAGUUUAUCCAAAGUAUUUUGAGAAAUCAUUAAAAGUAAAAAAAGAAAGAAAGAAAGAAAGAAAGAAAGAAAGAAAGAAAGGAAGGAAGGAAGGAAGGAAGGAAGGAAGGAAGGAAGGAAGGAAAGGAAGGAAAAGAGAGACCCAAACUGAGUUCUAGUGUGGAUUUAAAUUGGAUCUUGGAUUUAAAUUCAAAUUCAAAUUCAAAUUCAAAAUUUAUUUGUCACAUACACAGUACGAUAUGCAGUGAAAUACUUAGACAACUGCUCGUGACCUAAAGAAAAAACGACUAUGAAUAGGAUAGGAAAUAAAUAGGAAAAUUAAAAUGAAGGGUAAAUUUCACUAGGAAAGAAUAAAUAAAAUAUAAAAAUUAAAGUUAAAAAUAAAAUAACUGUACAACAAAAUACACAAUAUACAAACACACAAUAUAGAAAUGUAUAAGAAUAUAUGAAGAAAUAUAGAACAACAACAGCAGCAGUACAAGUACUAAAUGGUAAUUAAGAAAUAUAAUGUCCAGGGUUGUGCAAUCCACAU
ensembl:lncRNA